CACGUAGGGGGCGAGCGUUGUCCGGAUUUACUGGGCGUAAAGGGCGCGUAGGCGGCUUGACAAGUCACUUGUGAAAUCUCCGGGCUUAACUCGGAACGGCCAAGUGAAACUGUCAUGCUAGAGUGCAGAAGGGGCAAUCGGAAUUCUUGGUGUAGCGGUGAAAUGCGUAGAUAUCAAGAGGAACACCUGAGGUGAAGACGGGUUGCUGGGCUGACACUGACGCUGAGUGCGCGAAAGCCAGGGGAGCAAACGGG
rnacentral:rRNA from 1 species